AUUGAACGCUGGCGGCAGGCCUAACACAUGCAAGUCGAACGAGUGGCGGACGGGUGAGUAAUGUCUGGGAAACUGCCUGAUGACGGUGGAUAACUACUGGAAACGGUCGCUAAUACAGCAUACCAUCAGAUGUUCCCAGAUGGGAUUAGCUGGUUGGUGGGGUAACGGCUCACCAAGGCGACGAUCCCUAGCUGGUCUGAGAGGAUGACCAGCCACACUGGAACUGAGACACGGUCCAGACUCCUACGGGAGGCAGCAGGGGGGAAUAUUGCCGAAUGGGCGAAAGCCGGAUGCAGCCAUGCCGCGUGUAUUAAGAAGGCCUUCGGGUUGUAAAGUACUUUCAGCGGGGAGGCGUUACCCGCAGAAGAAGCACCGGCUAACUCCGUGCCAGCAGCCGCGGUAAUAC
rnacentral:rRNA from 1 species